rnacentral:rRNA from 1 species
AUUGAACGCUGGCGGCAGGCCUAACACAUGCAAGUCGAACGAGUGGCGGACGGGUGAGUAAUGUCUGGGAAACUGCUCGAUGGAGGGGGAUAACUACUGGAAACGGUAGCUAAUACCGCAAACCAUCAGAUGUGCCCAGAUGGGAUUAGCUAGUGGGUGGGGUAACGGCUCACCAAGGCGACGAUCCCUAGCUGGUCUGAGAGGAUGACCAGCAAAGCUGGAACUGUGACCCGGUCAAGACUCCUACGGUAGGCCGCAGUGGGGAGUCUUGCACAUUGGGCGCAAGCCUGCUGCCGCCAUGCCGCGUGUAUGAAGAGGGCCUUCGGGUUGUAAAGUACGUUCAGCGGGGAGGCGUUACCCGCCUAAGAAGCACCGGCUAACUCCGUGCCAGCAGCCGCGGUAAUAC